rnacentral:rRNA from 1 species
AUGGCGGCUGCCGCGACGGCGACGACGGCGGCGGCGGGGAAGCUCCCAUUCCCGCUGCUCACGAGGAUGAACUACGCGGCGUGGGCGAUGAGGAUGAAGUACCUCUUGCGCGCCAACGGCGCGUGGGGUGCCGUUGAUCGCGAGGCCUCAUCGGAGGUCGACAAGGGCAAGGAGGAGAUGGCCAUGACGAUCAUCUCCCAGUCCAUCGACGACUCGACGCUGCUGCGAGUUGCGGAGAAGGAGACCGCAGCCGAUUCCGUGGAUGAUUUCGCGGCGAGGUUCACGACGCUCGUGGGGCGCAUCCGUGAGCUUGGUGAUGCGAUGGAGGAGAAAUAUGUCGUGAAGAAGCUUCUCCGAGCCGUCUCCAACAAGUUCAUCCACGUUGCGUCAUCGAUUGCAUUGUUCGGCGACACCAACAAGAUGGCCAUGGAGGAGGCCAUUGGUUCACUCAAGGCGCACGAGGAGCUCGUCAAGGGGCGGGAGACGACACAUAAAGAAGAGCAGCUCCUCAUGGCGAGAGGGCAUGACUCAUCGCGAGGACGCGGCCGCGGUGGCCGUGGCCGUGGCCGCGGACAUGGCCGUGGUGGAGGGCGCAGAGACAAGAGCGAGGUGAUGACGAAGACGAUGCCGCGUGACUCUUCAGCGAGUGGAGCGUUGGUGCCGAGCGACUCGGCGGCGAUGGCGGCUGCCGCGACGGCGACGACGGCGGCGGCGGGGAAGCUCCCAUUCCCGCUGCUCACGAGGACGAACUACGCGGCGUGGGCGAUGAGGAUGAAGUACCUCUUGCGCGCCAACGGCGCGUGGGGUGCCGUUGAUCGCGAGGCCUCAUCGGAGGUCGACAAGGGCAAGGAGGAGAUGGCCAUGACGAUCAUCUCCCAGUCCAUCGACGACUCGACCCUGCUGCGAGUUGCGGAGAAGGAGACCGCAGCCGAUUCCGUGGAUGAUUUCGCGGCGAGGUUCACGACGCUCGUGGGGCGCAUCCGUGAGCUUGGUGAUGCAAUGGAGGAGAAAUAUGUCGUGAAGAAGCUUCUCCGAGCCGUCUCCAACAAGUUCAUCCACGUUGCGUCAUCGAUUGCAUUGUUCGGCGACACCAACAAGAUGGCCAUGGAGGAGGCCAUUGGUUCACUCAAGGCGCACGAGGAGCUCGUCAAGGGGCGGGAGACGACACAUAAAGAAGAGCAGCUCCUCAUGGCGAGAGGGCAUGACUCAUCGCGAGGACGCGGCCGCGGUGGCCGUGGCCGUGGCCGCGGACAUGGCCGUGGUGGAGGGCGCAGAGACAAGAGCGAGGUACAAUGUUAUAACUGUGAUGACUUUGGACAUUUUGCUUGGGAGUGUCCGGAGAAGAAGAAGGAGAACGAGGAGAAGGCACUGCUGGCCGGCUACGGCAGCGACGGACCGGCUCUCCUAUGA